UAAAGCGGCGCACGGGUGAGUAACACGUGGAUAAUCUACCCUAUGGUGGGGAAUAAACCUUGGGAAACCGAGGCUAAUACCGCAUAAGUUCGAGAGAAGAAAGCCGCAAGGCGCCAUUGGAGGAGUCCGCGGCCGAUUAGCUAGUUGGUGAGGUAAGAGCUCACCAAGGCGACGAUCGGUAGCCGGCCUGAGAGGGCACACGGCCACACUGGCACUGAAACACGGGCCAG
rnacentral:rRNA from 1 species